rnacentral:rRNA from 1 species
AGAUUUAUCGGUGCAGGAUGGGCCCGCGGCCUAUCAGCUUGUUGGUGGGGUAAUGGCCUACCAAGGCGACGACGGGUAGCCGACCUGAGAGGGUGACCGGCCACACUGGGACUGAGACACGGCCCAGACUCCUACGGGAGGCAGCAGUGGGGAAUAUUGCACAAUGGGCGGAAGCCUGAUGCAGCGACGCCGCGUGAGGGAUGAAGGCCUUCGGGUUGUAAACCUCUUUCAGCAGGGACGAAGCGUGAGUGACGGUACCUGCAGAAGAAGCACCGGCUAACUACGUGCCAGCAGCCGCGGUAAUACGUAGGGUGCGAGCGUUGUCCGGAAUUACUGGGCGUAAAGAGUUCGUAGGCGGUUUGUCGCGUCGUUUGUGAAAACCCGGGGCUCAACUUCGGGCUUGCAGGCGAUACGGGCAGACUUGAGUGUUUCAGGGGAGACUGGAAUUCCUGGUGUAGCGGUGAAAUGCGCAGAUAUCAGG